GAGCCGCGUCUCUCGCUCUGAUCGCGGGGUGGGGUGCCCCCAGGAAUCACGAGUAGCCGUCUUGAUGUAACAGCAAGAGGGCUAUCUGAGAGGUGCCUGGUCCCAUGCUGCACGGAAGUGAGACAUCCAGGUGACCACUGUGCUGACAAAGCUGGGAUCACAUUGCCAGUCCACCACUGGGAUCUACUCAGUAGUCACGAGAUUCCCCGAAGCUGGGCCUGCUGGGCUCUGUCAGCGUCCAGCAUCCAUCUACGAGCACCCAGGUGUCUCUGCAUCAUCGCCCUGUGAUGCUUCUAAGUCUCACCCACCAGGAUGCUCCUGCAGCAAGGAGGUCAGGCCUUCCAAAGGGCUGCCUGGGGCUUAAGUUGACGGUGGACUUCAUC
ensembl:lncRNA